rnacentral:rRNA from 1 species
GAUGAACGCUGGCGGCGUGCCUAAUACAUGCAAGUCGAGCGAACAGAUGAGGAGCUUGCUCCUCUGACGUUAGCGGCGGACGGGUGAGUAACACGUGGAUAACCUACCUAUAAGACUGGGAUAACUACGGGAAACCGGAGCUAAUACCGGAUAAUAUAUUGAACCGCAUGGUUCAAUAGUGAAAGACGGUUUUGCUGUCACUUAUAGAUGGAUCCGCGCUGCAUUAGCUAGUUGGUAAGGUAACGGCUUACCAAGGCAACGAUGCGUAGCCGACCUGAGAGGGUGAUCGGCCCCACGGGAACUGAUACACGGUCCAGGCUCCUACGGGAGGCAGCAGUAGGGAAUCUUCCGCAAUAGGCGAAAACCUGACGGAACAACGCCGCGUGAGUGAUGAAGGUCUUCCGAUCGUAAAACUCUGUUAUUAGGGAAAAACAAAUUUGUAAGUAACUAUGCACGUCUUGACGGUACCUAAUCAGAAAGCCACGGCUAACUACGUG